CAAUACAAUACAAUACACACAAUAGACAUUGGUGGGCAAUACUGCUGAGUUAAAAACCUUAUUUUCCUUUGUUCGACGAUUCCGAAGAUCUUCUCCCAGUUGACUACAGGUAUGUCGAACCUUGUUAUUCGAAAUCUAGAGUGACUUGUAUCUGCAUGGUAUAAAGGUAAAUAUAUAUAAAAUGAAUCCAAUCAGUUUUAUAUUGUCCACCUCGUAGUGAGGCGAAUUAUUUACGCAGUACGUAGUUGGCAUCUCAUGUCUCAAUGUUGAACUAAAUAUAACCCUAAAUUUAACAAUAGUAACUGGUACUUUAGCCGUGGACGUUUUUGCUUAUGGUACAAUGGGGAUUUGUCCGGCAUACACGACAAUGUCGUUCAAGGUUGCCAACAUUUUUAAAGGAAUAUCAAGUUAUCGUCGCGUUUUUCCUAGAUUAAAACCGGCUAUAUUUAAUGCAUACGUUUUAGUUGAUUUGUCAAAUAAUGCAUAUUACAUAAGUCGAAAGAAUUAUUACAAAUAAAUCCUUUAUUCUUUAAAAAUAUUAAGUUCGUUUUUGAUCAAUAGUCAAUAUUAUACGUAAUUGCGGCACUUCCUGUGCAGAUUGAAUUUCCAGGAAUUUUGCAUGACUUAUAAUUGUCAACGAAUUCUGAAAAUUAUGGAAUAUACCGACACGAAAUGAAAGAUCGAUAGCUUAUAUUUACGUUUUGACUAUGGGAGUCCGCAUAUAAAAAAUCUAGCUUGUUCAAAAGUUUGAUGCGCACCGCAUUCAUGUAUUAUGGUAAUGUCAACAGCGGUAUAUACAGCUAAUAUACAUAAAGAUGUUUAAAGAUUGUGCGCAGUUCUAAAAUUAAAUGUUCACAAAGCUGAAAAUUCCGCAAGGUGGUUGCUGAUACUCCCUGCCUAAAAAUUUUAGAAACCUUAGUUCAGUUUUGAUGACGAACGAAGGCCUAGUACCUCAGAGGGAUAUAUAUGCUAUUUCGAAAGUCUAUAUUAUUAGACAUGUGUUUAAUUAAAAGUGCUCUUAAUUAUGUACUAUAUAUUUCUGUUGAUGUAACCAUGCAGAUAUUGGUUCAUUGUUCCGUUCAAAGAACUCUUUGAGCCAGGACAUUUUAUUCAAGCAGUUUUGGAAAUAAGAGCACAUGUAUAACAUAUAUAAGCCAUAUGUUCCUGCAAACACAUUUAUAUGAAUUUAUAAUGCCCUGAUACAGCCUUACUUCGAUUACUGCUCUCCCCUAUUGAGGUGUCUGUAACAGUGACGUGCUGGCAGGGGGCGGGCGUGGAGCCGCAGCCCCCUCCCCCCAGCUGGCAAUUCUUUGGGAGGGGGAGCAAAAAUGAAAAGGGGGAGCCGAUCCCACGCCGAAUUUUGAAAGUGGGUAGGAAAAACAUAUUCGAAAAAAUAUAGUUACAUCCGCCAAGAAAAGAUGUGUUUAUAUAGGCUUAUAAACAGACUAAGCGCAUAGGCGACAAAGUGAUAUAUUAAAUUACAGACUAUUUUGUCUAACCGUAUUUCCUAAUUUGCUACCUCACGACUCACACGAAAUCGUUUAUAUAGAAACAUGAUCAGUGAUCACACGCAACGUCUCAUUACCGGAAUAUUAAUUGGUCAAGUUUCGAAGCGGUCACGGGAAUUGUGCCCUUUUUUGCUGUCGGUAAUAUGCCCUUAUACUCUUUAUUAUGACGAAUCAUGAGAGCGGCGCAAAUUAGAUAGUUGAAGUUAUGAUAAUGUAAAGUUGUGUACACAAUUUAGUUGUUUGCGCAAGAAACAUCAUGAGUAAUGUAAGUAAUGAAAUUAUGCUGAAACACGCCCUUAAAAUGCGGAAACCUUAAAAUGUAUAUGCGUGGGGUCCGUGUGUUAUUGUGAAAAGAGCAGUAAGUUGUAAAUGUGUUCAGAUCACUAAAUCAGUAGAGAAUAGAAUCGGGAUUAUAUAUAUAUCAAUGGCUGGAAGUAGUUAGCAUUGCUUAAUUUAAGUACUACUACUAAAUUCUAACCAUAUUGCAAAUUUCGACACGUUAUAAUGCCGUUCCGUGACUAUCAGAUUUCUGUCAAAUCUUCCCCCAAAGUCCAGGAAAUGGCGUUUCAGGACUCUAAAUUCAAAAAUUUUCCUGGGGGCAUGCCCCCGGAAACCCCUAGACAAACCUCGCAGCUGUGGCGAUCGGCCCGUGCCUUCGGCUUUCGUUUAUCAAGCGUAACAUUAUAGGGGCAUUAUAUUGGUUGACAAACAGAAAAAUAGUACAGAAAAAUAGUACCCAGCACGGUCUGUAACAAAACACUGUGAGAUAAUUUACAAAAGUUCCAAAAUCAGGACGCCGGCGCCAGAAUAAUUGCUGGCGCCAGUUAUGAGAUCAGAUCUGUUGACAUCCUUCGAUCUCUUGACUGGAAAAAUUUGGACUCAAGAUGGUACUUAAAGUGAUUCAACUCACUUGCGUGACGUCAGAAUAAAUGCUAGUGCCAGACUUCUGUCGCCGACGGCCAUUAGACGGCCAUUAGCUAGUUAUAGUGAAAAUCAUUUUUUGUGUCAGGGGCACUUUAACUCAUAUCGAUCCGUGUUACUCAAUUUCCGUAAUAUAUGACGGAAAGAAUGAAUAUUACAGAACUCUGCGAGUAAUUGCAGUAGAAAUACGAAAAUACCACAAAAAAAUUUAACUAAGCCAACAUUCUUAUAUAAAGUCUUGAGUAAUAGUGCUACACCGACUCUGAAAGAUUCAUUCGUAAUUAGGAAUAUUUUACUAAAGAAUUAUAUAAUCUUAGAAAUUCUCGAACUGAUCUGGCCUUUCCAAAGCCAGACAAGAGAAUUUCUCAAAAGAAGCUUUAAAUAUAUAGCGGUGCUUAUCUUUGCAUGGAAUAACCUUCUGCUUGAAGCUAAGCAAACUCAACUUACUUAAAAGUUUUAUAUAUUUACUUACUUAAAAGUUUUAUAAAACAAAAUAUUCGAUGUUAAGAAUCCAGUCUGGAUUCUUUAAUCAUAUCUUUAUCUGGGACACACCACCGUAAAUUACUGUAGCUUUUAAUAAUCUACAUAUAGUAGUAUACUUAGUUUCCUUCCUUUUUAUAUUCUUUAAUUUGUAAUAUUUUAAUAGGACGCCACUGUGGAAAUCAACUUUCGUAGUUGUCGGUGCUAGCGUCGUAAAAUAAAGCGUGUAAUAAAAUGUUAUUGCAUCUUAUUUGUCAAAUUCCUAACCUCACUUAUAAACAGCUAUAUAGACAGGAAUCGAUAAGUCUAUUUUAAUUGUUAAUAAAUCUAAUAUGAGAACUUUGUAUACCAAACAAGCAUACAGUGAUCUUUUAUCAUUUCUUAGGCAAUACUUAUAGCAGCCCUUAUCAGUGAAUGAAGCGGAAUGAAGUGGAAUUUUGCGACGACCAAGUCAAUCAUUCAACUCAUAAUUGCUCUAAUUUGGUGUGGAGUGGUCAACAGUGCACAUGGCAUUGGUAAUACUAUAGAAAUAGAUACACAUGCAGCAACCCCUUGCCAUAAUUAAGCAAUUAGCCUAUAUUUCCUAAAAUUUGCUUCAACAAUACUGAUAUUCUUCGGUACUGAUACUGUACUGAUAUUCUUCCGGUAAUAUAUAUUCUGCAGAACCUGCCUCACUCGGCUGAUUAAAUAACAAAUGUAAUACUUCAACAGCCUAUAUAUCAGGGUGUAUCAUAAAAAACGGAGUCCUCGCUUCAAAUAUAAAUUUCGAAACUAAUAUUAGAGUAAAACGUUCGGGUUUACAUUUGUUUUAAAGCAUAGACAUUCAGCUUUCUAACGAUGGGUUAUUUCGUAAAUUUAAUCCAGUAGUUCGUGAAUAAUAGUAUUUUAAGUGAUUGCGAUUGGAGAGUCAAAAAUUUGAGAUGCAAUAACAAAUCGGUACUUGAUGAAAAUAACUUAUUUUGUCAAGAAAACGAGCAAAUUGAGGCAUUUUGGCAAUAGCUUGUAAAAACUAAGUAAUAAAGGCUUCCAAUACACUAUUUUAAAUUCACUUGCUGACUUCAAAUGCGUUUAUAUUCCCAGCUGAAGCGUGUUUUAGCUUGCCGUCAACUUGCUAAUUUAUGUUUACAUUGCGCCCGAUUCGAUGGCGUUAGUUCGGACGAUGCAUCAUGAACAUAAGAUUGUUUUGAUGAUUUCUGGAAAUAAUUUAGGAUUUUGAAAUAAAUAAAACAACCUAAUCUCUUUUAGAAUGUUUUUAACAAGUUUUUACUGGUUUUUCUGAUGUGGCAACAAGAACAUUAAAUUUUGAACAAGAAAAUUCAAACAUUGUAACCGACUAUGGAAUAUCAUAGUAAUUUGGAUAAUUAAGCGGCAUCUAAAAAUUAUAGGUUUUACUAAAUUUUCUUCUGUGCAGUUAUUACUUGCACUAAAGACACGGAUGACUAUUUGUUCGAAAGAUAAAUGAGCGGGCCUUAAAAUAAGACUAAAACCGUUUUAUUAAAUAUAGCAAGCCGAUAGUUAUUAAGUACAAAAGAUGGACUCCGUUUUUUUCUGAUACACCCUGUAUAGGACCUACAUUUGGCUAAAGCCAAAACUUUCAGACGAUAGGAAGAACACUGUUUGCAGUACUUUAAAAAAGCAUGCAACACGAAGGUUUUUUGCUUAUCCAAUCUUUAAUUGUUAAAGUUUAUUUGAAUCCUGAAACCACAUCUGAGAUUCGUCUGUGCAUGUGCCACAUGGAAUGAUAUGAUAUAUCAUGACAUUAUUGGGGAAGGCCCCGACAACAUGCAGGUUAUGCGCGGCUUUUAAGUCACGCAUCCUUUUGUUCAUGUUAUAUUUCAGUAUAGUUAAACAGUUUGUUCACAUAUUGUUUGUUUUGCCCUCUGAUGCAAAGACGAGACAGAAUUAGAGAAAAUAUUAAAAGAAAUGUACUUGGCUGAUGCAAGAUCAUACAUUAACGAAAAUGGUGUUUGGGGCAUUGAAGAGUUUCUCAGGAGAAAACUUGAAGGGUGGAAAGAAGUGAAAAUACGAUUUGCCAUAACAGGAGAUAGUGGCUCAGGAAAAUCUGCCUUUAUCAACGCAAUAAGAGGGUGAUAUUUUUAUGCUUAUUACUUUCCAAAACUGGGCUCCUCCCCAAAAUAUGUG